rnacentral:rRNA from 1 species
GACGAACGCUGGCGGCGUGCCUAAUACAUGCAAGUUGAGCGCUGAAGGUUGGUACUUGUACCAACUGGAUGAGCAGCGAACGGGUGAGUAACGCGUGGGGAAUCUGCCUUUGAGCGGGGGACAACAUUUGGAAACGAAUGCUAAUACCGCAUAAAAACUUUAAACACAAGUUUUAAGUUUGAAAGAUGCAAUUGCAUCACUCAAAGAUGAUCCCGCGUUGUAUUAGCUAGUUGGUGAGGUAAAGGCUCACCAAGGCGAUGAUACAUAGCCGACCUGAGAGGGUGAUCGGCCACAUUGGGACUGGGACACGGCCCAAACUCCUACGGGAGGCAGCAGUAGGGAAUCUUCGGCAAUGGACGAAAGUCUGACCGAGCAACGCCGCGUGAGUGAAGAAGGUUUUCGGAUCGUAAAACUCGGUUGGUAGAGAAGAACGUUGGUGAGGGUGGAAAGCUCAUCAAGUGACGGUAACUACCCAGAAAGGGACGGCUAACUACGUG